UACGUAGGGUGCGAGCGUUGUCCGGAAUUAUUGGGCGUAAAGGGCUCGUAGGCGGUUUGUCGCGUCGGGAGUGAAAACUCAGGGCUUAACCCUGAGCCUGCUUCCGAUACGGGCAGACUAGAGGUAUGCAGGGGAGAACGGAAUUCCUGGUGUAGCGGUGAAAUGCGCAGAUAUCAGGAGGAACACCGGUGGCGAAGGCGGUUCUCUGGGCAUGUCCUGACGCUGAGGAGCGAAAGUGUGGGGAGCGAACAGG
rnacentral:rRNA from 1 species